AUCCAGCUGACGAGUGCUAAAUAGGACGAAACGCGCGUUCUGGAU
rnacentral:hammerhead_ribozyme from 1 species